rnacentral:rRNA from 1 species
CCAAUAGCGUAUAUUAAAGUUGCUGCAGUUAAAAAGCUCGUAGUUGAAUUUCGGGACCAAUAUGUCGGUCGUGCCUCGGUACGUACUGGCAUCGUUGGUUUCUCCCUUCUGACGAACCAUGAUGUCAUUUAUUUGGUGUCGUGGGGAAUCAGGACUGUUACUUUGAAAAAAUUAGAGUGUUUAAAGCAGGCUCACGCUUGAAUACAUUAGCAUGGAAUAAUGAAAUAGGACGUUUGAUUCUAUUUUGUUGGUUUCUAGGAUCGACGUAAUGAUUAAUAGGGAUAGUUGGGGGCAUUAGUAUUCAAUUGUCAGAGGUGAAAUUCUUGGAUUUAUUGAAGACUAACUACUGCGAAAGCAUUUGCCAAGGAUGUUUUCAUUAAUCAAGAACGAAAGUUAGGGGAUCGAAGACGAUCAGAUACCGUCGUAGUCUUAACCAUAAACUAUGCCGACUAGGGAUCGGAUGAUGUUAAUUUCUUAAUGACUCAUUCGGCGCCUUACG